rnacentral:rRNA from 1 species
GAGUCCCGAAUUGUAGUCUAGAGGGCGUGCGGCUGGGUUGGUUCCUGGGUCUAAGUCCCUUGGAAAGGGGUGCCAGAGAGGGUGAGAGUCCCGUCUUUGGCCUUGGAACCGGCUGAAGCUGAUUGCUCUGCGAGUCGGGUUGCUCGGGAUUGCAGCCUGAAUGGGAGGUAAAUUUCUCCUAAAGCUAAAUACUGGCGAGAGACCGAUAGCGAACAAGUACCGUGAGGGAAAGAUGCAAAGAACUUUGAAAAGAGAGUUAAAGAGUGCCUGAACUUGUUGGGGGGGAAGCGUUUGCACCCAGUGUGCGCGUGCCGAUUCAGCCCUUGACGGGUGCACUUUGGCAUAGCGCGGUCAGGGUGGGUUUUGCUCGGCGUUGACGUUCCCCCGUGAGGCCCUUGGGCGACCGGGUGGACCUGCGUCGAUCUGGACCGAGGCUCGCUCAUGUCCGGUUUCGGUGAAUCGUUGUCGUGGGCUCCAAGCAACUUGUACCCGCGUCGCGUGCAUCCCUGGCUGGUUUAUAGCGUGACCCUGACGAAAUGGUUGCAACCGACCCGUCUAGAAACACGGACCAAGGAGUCACGAAUGCGCGAGCCUCUGGGUGGCAACCCCUUAGGCGCAAUGAAAGUGAGAGAUGUUCAGCAUCGACCGACCGUGAUCUUUAGUGAAUGGUUUGAGUACGAGUGCAUUCGUCGGGACCCGAAAGAUGGUGAACUAUGCCUGAGUAGGGUGAAGCCUGAAGAAAUUCAGGUGGAGGCUCGUAGCGAUACUGACGUGCAAAUCGUUCGUCGAACUUGGGUAUAGGGGCGAAAGACUAAUCGAACCAUCUAGUAGCUGGUUCCCUCCGAAGUUUCCCUCAGGAUAGCUGGAGCUCAUUGCAGUUUUGU